UAUCUCUGUAGAGUCUGCAUAUCAAUAAGCGGAGGAAAAGAAACUAACAAGGAUUCCCUUAGUAACGGACGAGUGAAGCGGGAAGAGCUCAAAUUUGAAAUCUUCAAGGUUUUACCUUGACGAAUUGUAGUUUAAAGAAGUGUUUUCUGUUGAAGUUUCGGUAAAAGUUCUUUGGAAUAGGACAUCAUAGAGGGUGAGAAUCCCGUAUUUGAUCGUUAUUUUCAGCUGUGUGAUACACUUUCAAAGAGUCGGAUUGUUUGGGAAUGCAGUCCAAAAUGGGUGGUAAAUUUCAUCUAAAGCUAAAUACUGGCGAGAGACCGAUAGCGAACAAGUACCGUGAGGGAAAGAUGAAAAGAACUUUGAAAGGAGAGUUAAACAGUACGUGAAAUUGUCAAAAGGGAAGCGUUUGACACCAGUGUUGUUUUCUCGAAAAUCAAUUAAAAAUGACUGGAUUUUGUGUUGUAUUGACCUUAUAAGCUUUCUGCACUUUUUUCAUGUCUUUUUUAAUGCACUUUUCGUUUAACAAGUCAACAUCAAUUUCUUUUGUUGUAAAAGGGUCAUUGGAAGGUGGCUUUCUUUUCGGAGAAAGUGUUUAUAGCCUUUUAUCUCCUGCAGUCGGAGAGACUGAGGUCUGCAGCGUAGAUCCUUCUGGGAUUAGAUUACAUUGUGCUAAGUUAUAGCCUUUCAUAGACAACUUGUUGACUAUGAUUUAGUCAUGUAGCUUACUCGCUUAUGAUAUUUUACCUACGCUUAGGAUGUUGAGUCAUCACACAUCUCU
rnacentral:rRNA from 1 species